rnacentral:rRNA from 1 species
UAGUCCACGCCGUAAACGAUGGACACUAGUUGUUGGGAUUUAUCUCAGUGACUAAGCGAAAGUGAUAAGUGUCCCACCUGGGGAGUACGAUCGCAAGAUUGAAACUCAAAGGAAUUGACGGGGGCCCGCACAAGCGGUGGAGCAUGUGGUUUAAUUCGAUGAUACGCGAGGAACCUUACCAGGGCUUAAAUGUAGUAUGACAGGUUUAGAGAUAGACUUUUCUUCGGACAUAUUACAAGGUGCUGCAUGGUUGUCGUCAGCUCGUGCCGUGAGGUGUCAGGUUAAGUCCUAUAACGAGCGCAACCCCUGUCGUUAGUUGCCAGCAAGUAAAGUUGGGGACUCUAAGGAAACUGCCGGUGAUAAGCCGGAGGAAGGUGGGGAUGACGUCAAGUCCUCAUGGGCCCUUACAGGGCUGGGGCUACACACGUGCUACAAUGGGUAUCUACAGUGAGCAGCGAUCCCGCGAGGGGUUAGCUAAUCUCCAAAAGAUAUCUCAGUUCGGGAUUGGUUCUCU